rnacentral:misc_RNA from 1 species
ACUAGCAGAUGAAUGCAGUGGCAUACACAUAAUCAUUUCGCAACUAAACGUGCGCGCCGCUAGGACGCGCGAGCGCGCCUCUUUCAAACUUCCGAACGUAUUCUUCGCAAUUCGAAUUUUAAAUACAUUAUCAUCUAAGGCGAAAAACGCACAUGUGGCUAAUUUUAAAAUAAAAACGUAGGAUAUUAUUUAAAAAAAAAAAAACGCUUUGUGUUUAGUUUGAAUAAGAAUAAAAAAAUUAAGUUUAAUUUUCUUUAAAAGUGUCCGUUAUAAAAUAACUUUUUAACGAGUCUUUCAGUAGUGAAAAGUUUUAGUCUUUUUUUUACGUAAAGACUCUGAAUUGUGUCUGUAACGUUUAUUUCAAUAGAAAUACCAAAGAAAUGUUCGUCGAGAUGCCUUCACCGUCCAUAGACACAGAUGGAUUGUCAUCAUCAUCAGCGACAAAAUGCGCUGACGAGCAGCGUAGCGCAUCAGAUUCUCUGAACAGUUUGAUAGAGGGAAAGAUUCAAGAGCCUUGUUUAGAAUUAGAUUCCCUGACCGAGCAGUGCCCGGUUACUUGCGAAAACAACCAAAAAUCAAAGAAGAGGAGAUCUGUUUGUUGCAACACCGUGGCGCAGUGUGUAUGGGGCGUGUUACUGCUCUUCAUGUCUAUCGGUGGUUUCAUAUUUCAGCCGUUGGACUUCGUACUGAAAGAAAAACUAAAUAUGAGACCAGGUUUCCCGCCAUACGAAUGGUGGGCGGAUCCCCCGGACGAAGUGAAACUCCGAGUCUACGUUUUCAAUGUAACCAACCACGAUCGAUUCAUGUCAGGUCUAGACGAGAAAAUUAAUAUUGAAGAAAUUGGACCCAUAGUUUAUUUAGAGAAACUGGUGCAUAGAAAUAUAGUGUUUAACGAAAAUAGUACAAUGACGUUUACGGGUCAGAGGUAUCCCGUCUUCCUGCCCAAAGAGAACACUAUAGACCUCAAUGCGACCUUAUUAGUGCCAAAUUUAGCUUUAUUGGCAAUGUCUUCGUAUUUGCACGACGCGAAUUAUUUCGUACUAACUGCAUUCCGUUUGAUGGUCACCACGCAUGGCAGCAAAUUCUUUUUGAAGAAGACUAUUUAUGAAUAUUUGUGGGACUACAGAGAGCCGAUAUUGGAUACGUCUAAAAAUAUUGCCCCGGGUUUAGUGCCUGUUAAUAAUAUGGGAAUGCUGGCUAGAAUUUACGCUGAUUUCACCGACGAGGUCACAGUGAAGAUUGGUCAACAGUGGGGCGACGAGGAGUUCUUCCAAAUAGAUAGAUUUCGAGGACAACCACAGUUACCUGGUUAUGAUCCUAAUGAAUGUCCGGAUAGAAUUUUUGGUUCCUCUGAAGGAGUUAUGUACCAACAGCGUCUCACAAAGAAAGACGUGGUACUUUACUGGAGGAAAACUGUCUGCAAACUGAUGCCUCUUUACUUCGACCGUGAAUUAACACUAGACAACGUGCCAUUAUACAGAUACAAUCUCUCCGAGUCAGUAUUUGAAAGGGUCACCAAUGGAACUGACUGUUACGACAUGGUACCUUCAUUGCCAGCUGGUUUGAGCGACGCUUCGAAAUGCUAUUUCAACCACCAAAAGAUCAAUACGUGACAGGACUCCAACCGGAUAGAUAUAAGCACAACUCUUACAUAAUAGUUGAACCUCUAACUGGCAUUCCUUUUCGAUCGGUGGCACGAAUGCAAAGCAACCUGUGGGUCCAUGACAUUUCCCGUUUCAGUUCUCCCUACUCCAAGUUUUCUAAUCUCGUGCUGCCGUUGUUUUGGGCGGAAUAC